UCGGGAAUUUUGGGCAAUGGGCGAAAGCCUGACGAAGCAACGCCGCGUGGAGGAUGAAGGUCUUCGGAUUGUAAACUCCUGUCGACCGGGACGAAUGCACCCGACCUAAUACGUCGAAGUGUUGACGGUACCGGUGGAGGAAGCCACGGCUAACUCUGUGCCAGCAGCCGCGGUAAUACAGAGGUGGCAAGCGUUGUUCGGAAUUACUGGGCGUAAAGGGCGCGUAGGCGGCAAUUCAAGUCAUCUGUGAAAUCUCCGGGCUUAACUCAGAACGGCCAAGUGAUACUGUCGCGCUAGAGUGCAGAAGGGGCAAUCGGAAUUCUUGGUGUAGCGGUGAAAUGCGUAGAUAUCAAGAGGAACACCUGAGGUGAAGACGGGUUGCUGGGCUGACACUGACGCUGAGGCGCGAAAGCCAGGGGAGCAAACGGGAUUAGAUACCCACGUAGUCCCUGAGCGGGCUGGCAAGGCGCAU
rnacentral:rRNA from 1 species